rnacentral:rRNA from 1 species
AUUGAACGCUGGCGGCAGGCCUAACACAUGCAAGUCGAACGAGUGGCGGACGGGUGAGUAAUGUCUGGGAAACUGCCUGAUGGAGGGGGAUAACUACUGGAAACGGUAGCUAAUACCGCAUACCAUCGGAUGUGCCCAAAUGGGAUUAGCGAGUGGGUGGGGUAAAGGCUCACCAAGGCGACGAUCCCUAGCUGGUCUGAGAGGAGGACCAGCAACACUGGGACUGAGACACGGUCCAGACUCCUACGGGAGGCAGCAGUGGGGAAUUGUGCACAAUGGGCGAAAGCCUGAUGCAGCCAUGCCGCGUGUAUGAAGAAGGCCUUCGGGUUGUAAAGUACUUUCAGCGGGGAGGCGUUACCCGCAGAAGAAGCACCGGCUAACUCCGUGCCAGCCGCCGCGGUAAUAC